rnacentral:lncRNA from 1 species
GCAAUUAAUACGUUAGUGACCAUGACUGUUGUCCUGUGAGCUAUAUAAGCUAAACGUCUUGUUACAGUAGCUACAUAGUCUCUACUUCCUUAGCUGCGUGUACAGAAACAACAUAUCUGCAAUAUGAAGCUGCUUUCAAUGGUUCUGGCCUUAGUGGUGGCCCUGUCAUGCUUAGUGAACUGGAGCAGCGCCAUGCCUGAGCCUAACCCAGUGGCUGACCCUGACCCCGUUGCUGACCCUGGCUACCGCCGCUUCGGUGGAUUCGGAUAUGGUGGAUACGGAUAUGGGGGUCGCGGAUACGGGGGUUAUGGAUACGGUGGAUAUCGCGGUCGCUUUUACGGAUAAAGAUAUUUCUAACACGGGACUCCGUUAAGAAUGAGACUAUGAAACGAAUAAAAAUUCCUCUCCGGCAUUUCUGAAAUAAAUUCUUUAACUGAA